UACAGAGGUCUCAACCGUUGUUCGGAUUCAUUGGGCGUAAAGGGCGUGUAGGCGGUUCCAUAAGUCGGCCGUGAAAAGCGUCAGCUCAACUGAAGCAGGGCGACCGAGACUGUGGGGCUUCGAGUGCGGGAGAGGGAAGUGGAAUUCCCGGUGUAGCAGUGAAAUGCGUAGAUAUCGGGAAGAACACCAAUGGCGAAAGCGACUUCCUGGCCCGCUACUGACGCUGAGGCGCGAAAGCUAGGGGAGCAAACGGG
rnacentral:rRNA from 1 species